UUUCCGUAGGUGAACCUGCGGAAGGAUCAUUAACGAGUAAGGUUCAUUCUGGCCCGACCUCCAACCCUUGGUUUACUUACUAGGUUACUUUGGCGGGUCCUUUUCACGACCUCCGGAAGUCCUGGGACUUCUCUCCCGCGCCCGCCAAUACCCUUCUACAAACUCUUUAAAAAUUGUGAUGUCUGAGUAAUAAAUUUAAUAGUUAAAACUUUCAACAACGGAUCUCUUGGUUUUG
rnacentral:misc_RNA from 1 species